rnacentral:rRNA from 1 species
CCCCUUGUGGGAGGGAGCUGUCGAAGGUGGGACUGGCGAUUGGGACGAAGUCGUAACAAGGUAGCCGUACCGGAAGGUGCGGCUGGAUCACCUCCUUUCUAA